UACGUGAGCCUCGAGCGUUACCCGGAUUCACUGGGCGUAAAGGGUGUGUAGGCGGUCAUGUUAGUCUCUUGUUAAAGCCCUGGGCUCAACCCAGGAAGCGCGAGGGAAACGGCAUGACUCGAGGGUGCGAGAGGUCUGUGGAACUCUAGGUGUAGGGGUGAAAUCCGUUGAUAUCUAGGGGAACACCGAAAGCGAAGGCAGCAGACUGGCGCACUCCUGACGCUGAGACACGAAAGCCAGGGUAGCGAAUGGG
rnacentral:misc_RNA from 1 species